rnacentral:rRNA from 1 species
UCGAGCGAACAGACAAGGAGCUUGCUCCUUUGACGUUAGCGGCGGACGGGUGAGUAACACGUGGGUAACCUACCUAUAAGACUGGGAUAACUUCGGGAAACCGGAGCUAAUACCGGAUAAUAUUUCGAACCGCAUGGUUCGAUAGUGAAAGAUGGUUUUGCUAUCACUUAUAGAUGGACCCGCGCCGUAUUAGCUAGUUGGUAAGGUAACGGCUUACCAAGGCGACGAUACGUAGCCGACCUGAGAGGGUGAUCGGCCACACUGGAACUGAGACACGGUCCAGACUCCUACGGGAGGCAGCAGUAGGGAAUCUUCCGCAAUGGGCGAAAGCCUGACGGAGCAACGCCGCGUGAGUGAUGAAGGUCUUCGGAUCGUAAAACUCUGUUAUUAGGGAAGAACAUACGUGUAAGUAACUAUGCACGUCUUGACGGUACCUAAUCAGAAAGCCACGGCUAACUACGUGCCAGCAGCCGCGGUAAUACGUAGGUGGCAAGCGUUAUCCGGAAUUAUUGGGCGUAAAGCGCGCGUAGGCGGUUUUUUAAGUCUGAUGUGAAAGCCCCACGGCUCAACCGUGGAGGGUCAUUGGAAACUGGAAAACUUGAGUGCAGAAGAGGAAAGUGGAAUUCCAUGUGUAGCGGUGAAAUGCGCAGAGAUAUGGAGGAACACCAGUGGCGAAGGCGACUUUCUGGUCUGUAACUGACGCUGAUGUGCGAAAGCGUGGGGAUCAAACAGGAUUAGAUACCCUGGUAGUCCACGCCGUAAACGAUGAGUGCUAAGUGUUAGGGGGUUUCCGCCCCUUAGUGCUGCAGCUAACGCAUUAAGCACUCCGCCUGGGGAGUACGACCGCAAGGUUGAAACUCAAAGGAAUUGACGGGGACCCGCACAAGCGGUGGAGCAUGUGGUUUAAUUCGAAGCAACGCGAAGAACCUUACCAAAUCUUGACAUCCUUUGACAACUCUAGAGAUAGAGCCUUCCCCUUCGGGGGACAAAGUGACAGGUGGUGCAUGGUUGUCGUCAGCUCGUGUCGUGAGAUGUUGGGUUAAGUCCCGCAACGAGCGCAACCCUUAAGCUUAGUUGCCAUCAUUAAGUUGGGCACUCUAAGUUGACUGCCGGUGACAAACCGGAGGAAGGUGGGGAUGACGUCAAAUCAUCAUGCCCCUUAUGAUUUGGGCUACACACGUGCUACAAUGGACAAUACAAAGGGCAGCGAAACCGCGAGGUCAAGCAAAUCCCAUAAAGUUGUUCUCAGUUCGGAUUGUAGUCUGCAACUCGACUACAUGAAGCUGGAAUCGCUAGUAAUCGUAGAUCAGCAUGCUACGGUGAAUACGUUCCCGGGUCUUGUACACACCGCCCGUCACACCACGAGAGUUUGUAACACCCGAAGCCGGUGGAGUAACCAUUGGAGCUAGCCGUCGAAG